AUAUUGGAUAGAAAAUUUCAGUACUUAAUAUCGAAUAAAUUUUGAGGCUGAAUCAGCUUUCCGCAUAUUCUCACAAAGUGUAUUGAAAUGAAACACUCUUUUAUCUCAUCUAUUCGUUAAUGAUAUAAAUCACCAAGAUUCACUUUAUAAACCACGACAGAAUUGCCACGUUCCCAAUGUCGCUUUGUUAUCCAAAGAGUUCCUACUAGGCUUCUCGCUUGAAAGACCGCGCAGUGCUAGAUUCAUUGCUCUGCGAGUCACUGUAUUCCCCCAAAACGAUAGUUACCAGGCCAACGACCAUUAUUUGUUUGUUUGUUUUGAAUUUAUUUGUUUACUUACACUGUAAACAAUGAAAGUAGAUCCGAAAAAUUUUGGCAUGUUUUGCCCAAUCAUAAAAGAGACUAUCAAUGCUGUGCCUCGGAAAUGAACGACAACCCGGCAUAGUUGCUAGGACAACAGUCGAAUUGAGCAAAGGCAAACAGCUAGCGAUGGUAUUAGAAAAACAAAAA